AGCAGCCGCGGUAAUUCCAGCUCCAAUAGCGUAUAUUAAAGUUGUUGCAGUUAAAAAGCUCGUAGUUGAAUUUCGAGAUCAAAUUGUUGGUCGUGCCUUGGUACGUACUGGCAUUAUUGGUUUCUCCCUUCUGAAGAACCAUGGUGUCAUUAAUUUGGUGUCAUGGGGAAUCAGGACUGUUACUUUGAAAAAAUUAGAGUGUUUAAAGCAGGCUCGCGCUUGAAUACAUUAGCAUGGAAUAAUGAAAUAGGACGUUUAAUUCUAUUUUGUUGGUUUCUAGGAUUGACGUAAUGAUUAAUAGGGAUAGUUGGGGGCAUUAGUAUUCAAUUGUCAGAGGUGAAAUUCUUGGAUUUAUUGAAGACUAACUACUGCGAAAGCAUUUGCCAAGGAUGUUUUCAUUAAUCAAGAACGAAAGUUAGGGGAUCGAAGACGAUCAGAUACCGUCGUAGUCUUAACCAUAAACUAUGCCGACUAGGGAUCGGAUGAUGUUAAUUUUUUAAUGACUCAUUCGGCGCCUUACG
rnacentral:rRNA from 1 species